CCGUGGUGUUGGAGGACGACGGUCAGUUAAUUCAGCGAGACAGGGCCAACAAUCCUGACGAGAAAGACACGACAUUCAUACGCCGGAUAAACGAAGACGGAGAUUUAGUCAUGAUCUGCCAAGUCGACGAUGCUUCUUGCACGCGCAUCUAUCAACGAGUUUCAUAGCCGACUUAGGAGGCCUGUUCACCAGUAAUGCAUGGGCAUCUUUGUCUCGUCAUGUAUAAUGACGCGAGAAUUCAUGUUGACAAAAUAUCAGCACCCUCAAUUCUCGCUUCUCGUGAAAUAAGUUGUUCUUGUAAAUAAAUAUAAAUAAAUGUUAACAUCAAUAUUGAGUUCAACAAUAUUUUGUCAGUAUUUUGAAAAUGGAGGCAAGGCAAAUUAUUCAAACAUUUUCUCAAGGCAGUGCAUAAAUCCUUCUCCACAUAGGCUUUCAUUCCAAUCUGGUUACCAAGGUGGAUUUUAAGGGCUUUUAAUCUUUAGAGUUUCUUACAUCAUUCUAGUUUAGUAGAUAUCCCUGGCCCAUAUGCUUAAGAUGACAUUUUAACUAGACGCGAUUCCAACCACUUGAAGUCAAAAUUGGAGUUAAUGUUAUUUGUAUGAAAUUAUAACCUUUUGAAAUAUUGGAUCUUGAGGAAACUUGUUUGUGUCUUAAAACGAUUCAGGAUUUUAACUAUGUUUAACUAUGGGAGGGGCGUGGCGCAAACAAAAUGUGUACAGCUUCAGUUCCCCCUCGACAUUUUUGUGUACCCCCAGGUACCCCCUCAAAAGUUUCACCCUAGUUACGCCACUAAGUGUGCUUAUGGGACCGCCCGGUGUACUGUAUUCUCAGUUUAAAGAAAUGGAAAUCGUCAUAAAUAUUUUGACAUAUCUGUAUAAUAUAUUUUUAAAGCUCUUGCAGGAGCUUAUACA